rnacentral:tRNA from 1 species
CAAGGAAUAGUUUAGUUUAGAAUCCUAGCUUUGGGAGUUAGGGGUGGGAGUUAAAAUCUCCUUUCUUUGA